GAUGAACGCUGGCGGCGUGCCUAAUACAUGCAAGUCGAGCGAAUGGAUUAAGAGCUUGCUCUUAUGAAGUUAGCGGCGGACGGGUGAGUAACACGUGGGUAACCUGCCCAUAAGACUGGGAUAACUCCGGGAAACCGGGGCUAAUACCGGAUAACAUUUUGAACCGCAUGGUUCGAAAUUGAAAGGCGGCUUCGGCUGUCACUUAUGGAUGGGCCCGCGUCGCAUUAGCUAGUUGGUGAGGUAACGGCUCACCAAGGCAACGAUGCGUAGCCGACCUGGGAGGGUGAUCGGCCGCACGAGGACUGAGACACGGCCCAGAAUCCUACGGGAGGCAGCAGUGGGGAAUCUUCCGCAAUGGACGAAAGUCUGACGGAGCAACGCCGCGUGAGUGAUGAAGGCUUUCGGGUCGUAAAACUCUGUUGUUAGGGAAGAACAAGUGCUAGUUGAAUAAGCUGGCACCUUGACGGUACCUAACCAGAAAGCCACGGCUAACUACGUGCCAGCCGCCGCGGUAA
rnacentral:rRNA from 1 species